GCGUGAGUGAUGAAGGCCUUCGGGUUGUAAAGCUCUUUCACCGAUGAAGAUAAUGACGGUAGUCGGAGAAGAAGCCCCGGCUAACUCCGUGCCAGCAGCCGCGGUAAUACGGAGGGGGCUAGCGUUGUUCGGAAUCACUGGGCGUAAAGCGCACGUAGGCGGAUUUGCAAGUUGGGGGUGAAAUCCCGGAGCUUAACUCCGGAACUGCCUUCAAAACUGCAAGUCUUGAGGAUGGUAGAGGUGAGUGGAAUUCCGAGUGUAGAGGUGAAAUUCGU
rnacentral:rRNA from 1 species